GUAGGGUGCGAGCGUUAAUCGGAAUUACUGGGCGUAAAGCGUGCGCAGGCGGUUCGCUAAGACCGAUGUGAAAUCCCCGGGGCUUAACCUGGGAACUGCAUUGGUGACUGGCGGGCUAGAGUAUGGCAGAGGGGGGUAGAAUUCCACGUGUAGCAGUGAAAUGCGUAGAGAUGUGGAGGAAUACCGAUGGCGAAGGCAGCCCCCUGGGCCAAUACUGACGCUCAUGCACGAAAGCGUGGGGAGCAAACAGGAUUAGAUACCCUGGUAGUCCACGCCCUAAACGAUGUCAACUAGUUGUCGGGUCUUCAUUGACUUGGUAACGUAGCUAACGCGUGAAGUUGACCGCCUGGGGAGUACGGUCGCAAGAUUA
rnacentral:rRNA from 1 species